rnacentral:lncRNA from 1 species
CGUCAACUAAAAAUCCUAUAUAAAUUAAAACAAAAAAAAACUAUAUUUACUAUUUAUCGGUGCCGGAUGGUAUCUCUUGGACAGCGUAGGUGGUGUUUUGAAGGUGGAGUGAGCGAAAACGGCGGGGAAGUAACUGCAGCGGUGGUUGUGAAAGUGCAGAGGCGGCGGUGCAAGGAGUUGCGGCGGUGGCGAAGAGAGAAGUUGCCGUUAUGACAGUGGCUAUUAAAAGGUUGCGACGGUAAUCGUGCAAAGACUUGAGUGAUUCACAGAUUUUACUUUGCUAAAAGAAAACACUACAGAUCUGAAAGAGACAGAAAGAAAGAGAGAAGGGGAAGAACGAAAGAGGAGAAAGAAAAAGAACAACUUAAGUAUGCAAAAUGAGGAAAGGAGGAGAACAAAAGAAAAACAAUGAUCUGUUCUUCAAUUCAAAAAAAUCAGCUCUUCCACGGGGAUGUGGAAGAGAAGAAAAGAUGAUAUAUAUUAUUUUUGAA